UACGGAGGGGGCUAGCGUUGUUCGGAAUUACUGGGCGUAAAGCGCACGUAGGCGGCUUUGUAAGUUAGAGGUGAAAGCCCGGGGCUCAACUCCGGAACUGCCUUUAAGACUGCAUCGCUUGAAUUGUGGAGAGGUAAGUGGAAUUCCGAGUGUAGAGGUGAAAUUCGUAGAUAUUCGGAGGAACACCAGAGGCGAAGGCGGAUCGCUGGGCCAACACUGACGCUGAGACGCGAAAGCUAGGGUAGCAAACGGG
rnacentral:rRNA from 1 species